GACAACAACAACACAGCCAUGCAACCCUGAACAUCUGAUCUGGUAAGCUAAGUAGGGUGGAGCCUGGUUGUACUUGGAUGGGAGACCACCUGGGAAUACCUCCUGCUGUAGGCU
ensembl:rRNA 5S_rRNA 5S ribosomal RNA